UACGGAGGAUGCAAGCGUUAUCCGGAAUGAUUGGGCGUAAAGCGUCCGCAGGUGGCAAUGUAAGUCUGCUGUCAAAGCGUCUGGCUCAACCAGAUAAAGGCAGUGGAAACUACAUAGCUAGAGUAAGGUAGGGGUAGAGGGAAUUCCUGGUGUAGCGGUGAAAUGCGUAGAGAUCCGGAAGAACACCGGUGGCGAAGGCGGCCUGCUGGGCAGUGGCUGACGCUGAGGCGCGACAGCGUGGGGAGCAAACAGG
rnacentral:rRNA from 1 species